rnacentral:rRNA from 1 species
UACGUAGGGUGCAAGCGUUGUCCGGAAUUAUUGGGCGUAAAGAGCUCGUAGGCGGUCUGUCACGUCGGAUGUGAAAGCUCGGGGCUCAACCCCGAGCCUGCAUACGAUACGGGCAGACUUGAGUUCGGCAGGGGAGACUGGAAUUCCUGGUGUAGCGGUGAAAUGCGCAGAUAUCAGGAGGAACACCGGUGGCGAAGGCGGGUCUCUGGGCCGAUACUGACGCUGAGGAGCGAAAGCGUGGGGAGCGAACAGG